rnacentral:rRNA from 1 species
AUUGAACGCUGGCGGCAGGCCUAACACAUGCAAGUCGAACGAGUGGCGGACGGGUGAGUAAUGUCUGGGAAACUGCCUGAUGGAGGGGGAUAACUACUGGAAACGGUAGCUAAUACCGCAUACCAUCGGAUGUGCCCAGAUGGGAUUAGCUAGUAGGGUGGGUAACGGCUCCCCUAGGCGACGAUCCCUAGCUGGUCUGCGAGGAUGACCAGCCACACUGGAACGGAGACACGGUCCAGCCUCCUACGGGAGGCAGCAGGGGGGAAUAUUGCACAAUGGGCGAAAGCCUGAUGCAGCCAUGCCGCGUGUAUGAAGAAGGCCUUCGGGUUGGAAAGUACUUUCAGCGGGGAGGCGUUACCCGCAGAAGAAGCACCGGCUAACUCCGGGCCAGCAGCCGCGGUAAUUC